AACGAACGCUGGCGGCAUGCUUAACACAUGCAAGUCGAACGAGACCUUCGGGUCUAGUGGCGCACGGGUGCGUAACGCGUGGGGAUCUACCAUAGGGUACGGAAUAACUCAGAGAAAUUU
rnacentral:rRNA from 1 species